GCGGGCUUGGUGUAGUUGGAUAUCACGUCUGCCUACGGAGCAGAAGGUCAGGAGUUCGAGUCUCUUAGCCCGUG
rfam:Cryptosporidium ubiquitum isolate 39726 contig_12, whole genome shotgun sequence.